UAAAUAAUAGCGUAAAGCUUAAUUUACAAAUGCCUUUGCAAAAACAAAAAGGUUUUAGUGCCUUUUAAUCCAUAAUUGGCGUAUCUGGCCGGGCCGGGUUUUAGGCACAACCAAAUAAAUGGAAUAUUUCACAUAGAUUUGUGCGUCAGAAAGUUCUUUUAAAAUUUUUAAUAAAUGUGUUAAUGUAAUAAAAGUGAAAACAUUAACGCCGUUUAAGAGGAGAUCUUAUUUUUCAAUAUAAAAUACAAAACGGUUUUGAGAAAAUAAAUUGGAUAAACGACUCGACAUCUCAAGUUCAAUUAAAACUUUACAAUUUUCGUAGUCAUAACCAAAAGUUAACAAAGGCAUAUUGUAAUAGCAAUUAUAGAUAUAAUUUCUUUUCCUGUAGAGUCGUAAAUGCUUGGAGUGGUUUACCACCAUAUAUUAUCGAAUCAAUGACAAUUGACCAAUUCAAAAAUAAACUUGAUAAAUCAGAUUACUGCAAAAAUUAUUUAUUAAAUACAAAAUAAUAUCUAUAUACAUUGAAAAGUAAACAAUGCUAUUAUAAAACAUUUAUAGCUGUUAUAGCACAACAUCUUCUGUUGUUGUGCUCCACAAUUGAUUUCAUCAGUUGUCACAGUGUACAUUAUUAUUAUUAUUAUUAUUAUUAUUAUUAUUAUUAUUAUUAUUAUUAUUAUUAUUAUUAUUAUUAUUAUUAAAAGAUUUUUUUGCUAUGAAAAUAAGUAUAAUUUUACAAAAACUUAUAAGGAUUGCCAUUACAUACUAAAAUGGUGGAUUUAGGAUCCUAAAUCAACCAUUUAAAAAUGAUUUUAUUAUCCUAAGAUGCUAGGAUGCUAUGCCAUCCUAGGAUUUUUAUUAUCCUUAGACUCAUCCUAGGAUGAGUAUUCAAAUCAUUUACAGAUGUAUUUAUAUAUAUAUCAAAUAUACAAUCAAAGUCUUAUUAUAAUUAUGGAACUAUAGUGUGAACUAGUAUGUUUUGGUUUGUAUAGUCAAAAGACAAUGUUGUUUGUGUGAAUGAAAUUCCAUCAAGUUGAAUAAAGAAUGAUUUUGUCCAUUGUCCGAAUCGAAAUGUGAAAUUUCCAGUAAAAAAUUAAAACAUAACACCACAUUUGGUUGGUAUAACUUUAAACAAAAAUGUGAUGAAACUACAAGUAUUAUAACCUAUUAUAUUCAAAUAAUUAUUACAUAUAUUUAUAAGAGCAGUAUAAAGACCAUUUAAUCUUUAUCAAAUCUUAUGUAAAGUAUUUAUUGUAUUCUUUUUGUUAAGGAUUGGUGUAAUAACAUCAGGUAAAAACAUAUAUAAACUAGAUUGCAGACGUUGAUAUAACUCCAAAGUAGGUUGAUAUUUUUGUUUUAUUGUUGUUUUUAAGAUUUUGCUGCAUUAUUAAAAUAAAAUAAAGAUGGCUUGCACAGUAAAACAGAACUUGAAUUUAAAGUUUUAGUUAAAAAAAAUAAAAAAUAGACUAGUUAAUGUAGGUUUUGAUAGUAUAGGAGCUACAGUAUACAAUAAAGUCAUUUUUAAGUAUAUCUACUUUGUUUUGUCAUGUGCAUAUAAUACUCAUCCAGAGAUAGGAGCCAGGCGAUGAAGAUCUAAAGAACAAUUGUUAAUGUCGAGCUGUUCAACUGUAAUGAAGUUAAAAUUAAAAUAAAUAAAUAAAAUACAUUCUGGUUAUAUAAUGCAUAUGUCAUUAUAUAAACAUUAUGAAAGUAACAAAGAAUGUAAAUUAAGACUUUUUUAUUUAACUUUUAUUACUCUGCCAUCAUAGAUAACUGUCUUGGAUAUGUCAAUAGUGUAGCAUUCAUGACAACUUUCUUUAGCAGAUUUUAAAAAGAAAAACUAAAAUUUGCUAACAUCAUGCUCAAAUUAGAGCUAAGAUUUCUUAUAAACAGAUUUCAAAACAGCAAAAAAUUUAUAAAAAAGAAGAAGUAAUUCAGGGAAAAAGCUGAUUAUAAACAGCUUUUUUACUAACUUUCUUUCUUCUUUUUUUAAAAUAUUUCAAUAUAUUUGUUGAAUAUCAAAUUACAUUUAUAUAGACUAGUCUAGAUUGAUUUGUCUACUAGCUCUAACCUCUCAGUUGUAUUCAUGUCUGGUUUUUCAGAUCUUAAUUAAGAUUUUGUUUAUCACAUUUUUUUGCUAUGAUUUCAUUAUUUUUGUUAAUUUGUGAUUUGAGUAUUUUACUAAUUAAAUUUUUUUUUUUUAAUUAAAUUUAUUUUGAUUUUGCAGGUUAAUGGCAAAUAAAUUUGGUUAAUGGCAAACAAAGUUUAACUUGACCUAAUCUAAAACAAAACAAACAAUAGAGAAUGGAUUUUAAAUACUUACAAGGUGUUAUUGGUUGAUAUCUUGGUCAAUAAUGAAGUAAAUUAGGCGCGGAUCAGAAAUGGGUUGUUUUUUUUUUCCUACUAUUGAUCACUUAUUGUUCACAUUUGCUUGUGAACAAUGUGAAGUAUAAUAAUACUUGUAAAAUGUACAAAUGUACCUUACUUUAAAGAUAUUUUUAUUUAGAUGCAGUUACCUGAUGUUCUUAAAUAAAAGACACAAUGCACAUAGAUAGAAUUUAGACUGUUUGAAGGUUGCACCUUAUUGAUUGGAUCAUGGAAAAUGUGCAUCAAAUCAAAAUGAGUCUGAUAACAGAAGACGAUAAAAAUACAUAUGAAUUUGAUAUUGGUGAUGAAGAUAACAAUAUCAUGAUUUUAUCAAGAUCGUUUUGAAAAUAACUUGAAUUUUGUUCUAAAAUGUAUAAAUUA